CUGCAGCUAAUUAAGCUGACCAUGCUCUUUUCCUUUUGGGGGCCUGGUGUGCAAUGGCUGCAAAUAGCAGCCUAUCUGGUAAUUGUAUGCAGCCUGUUGCUUACUUGGGUUGCUCUAAGGGACCUUGGAGGGAUUC
ensembl:snoRNA SNORA70 Small nucleolar RNA SNORA70